UACGUAGGGGGCAAGCGUUAUCCGGAUUUACUGGGUGUAAAGGGAGCGUAGACGGCAUGGCAAGUCAGAUGUGAAAGCCCGGGGCUCAACCCCGGGACUGCAUUUGAAACUGUCAGGCUGGAGUGCAGGAGAGGUAAGCGGAAUUCCUAGUGUAGCGGUGAAAUGCGUAGAUAUUAGGAGGAACACAAGUGGCGAAGGCGGCUUACUGGACUGUAACUGACGUUGAGGCUCGAAAGCGUGGGGAGCAAACAGG
rnacentral:rRNA from 1 species